GGCCUCAUACAUGCAAGUCGAACGCCCCUUCGGGGGAGUGGCAGACGGGUGAGUAACACGUGGGAACCUACCCAGAGGUUCGGAAUAACUCAGGGAAACUUGAGCUAAUACCGGAUAAGCCUUGCGAGGGAAAGAUUUAUCGCCUUUGGAUGGGCCCGCGGCAGAUUAGUUUGUUGGUGGGGUAAUGGCCUAUCAAGACUACGAUCUGUAGCUGGUUUGAGAGGAUGAUCAGCCACACUGGGACUGAGUCACGGCCCAGACUCCUACGGGAGGCAGCAGUAGGGAAUCUUGCACAAUGGGCGAAAGCCUGAUGCAGCCAUGCCGCGUGAGUGAAGAAGGCUCUAGGGUUGUAAAACUCUUUCGGCGGGGAAGAUAAUGACGGUACCCGCAGAAGAAGCCCCGGCUAACUCCGUGCCAGCAGCCGCGGUAAUACGGAGGGGGCUAGCGUUGUUCGGAAUUACUGGGCGUAAAGCGCGCGUAGGCGGAUUAGUAAGUCAGUGGCGAAAGCCCGGGGCUCAACCUCGGAACUGCCAAUCACUAGUGAAUUCGCGGCCGCCUGCAGGUCGACCAUAUGGGAGAGCUCCCAACGCGUUGGAUGCAUAGCUUGAGUAUUCUAUAGUGUCACCUAAAUAGCUUGGCGUAAUCAUGGUCAGCCUUGUAUUCUCGAGAA
rnacentral:rRNA from 1 species